UUUUUCCUUCUCUCUCCCCUGCCUGCCUCCCAGAGGUAAUUUAGCAAAAUCCAGCACUGACAAAAGUUAAUCAAUCAGGGCCACACUGUGAGAUUUCUCUCCGAGAAGGCAGUAUGGUGAGCAAUUUUUCAAAGAUGAUUUUUUUUUCAUUAGAAAGAAGAUGGGAAGUUUGGAAUCAAGUGGGAGCAAGCUAACUGGUGAGAAUAUACAUCAAAACUGCUAAAGCAACAAACAAUGAGUCACCGUGUCUCAGUGCCGCUCUCUCUUCCCAAUGGAAGCAGCCCAAGGACUUCACUGCAGUUUGUGUCUGUGAACAGCAAAUAGGUUUAGAAAUAUUAUUCCAAUAAACAGUGGCUCUGCUUUAGUCUUGCUUCCGUCCCUAAGGUCUGGCCUCCAGGUUAAGCUUAGGAAUGGAUUUUAUUAAUAAAAGCUGUCCAAAUAGUCUACAGUUAAAAUAUUUGCUCAAUUCUUCUCUUUCCUUUUAAAUUAAAAGCCAAGUGAUCGGUUUCAUAUAGCUUUGCCUGAUCCAGGGAAAGAUAAGAUUUACCGUCGGUUCUUUGGUUCUAGUGUGAAAUAUUUGCUUUCUCAUUAAAUGAUCUCAGAUGGCAAUUUAAAGUUAGAUCAAAUAAUAUC
rnacentral:lncRNA from 1 species